UAGCCGUAAACGAUACUCGCUAGGUGUCGGCCACGGUGCGACCGUUGUCGGUGCCGUAGGGAAGCCGUGAAGCGAGCCACCUGGGAAGUACGGCCGCAAGGCUGAAACUUAAAGGAAUUGGCGGGGGAGCACCACAACGGGUGGAGCUUGCGGUUUAAUUGGAUUCAACGCCGGAAAUCCUACCGGGACCGACAGCAACAUGAAGGCCAGGCUGAAGACUUUGCCGGAUUAGCUGAGAGGUGGUGCAUGGCGUAGUCGUGU
rnacentral:rRNA from 1 species